ensembl:lncRNA
UGACAUACGUGUCCACCGUGAUCACUACAGACUCCCUGAGGCAACAGUUCAGCUUGCAAAUAUCUCCAAAUUACUUUUGGCGAUGGACAAAGGUUGUCUUGGAAGCAUCCAGGGAAAGUGUCUUGAUGAAAUUCAAAUCAAAGGUCUGCAAAAAAAAUUCAAUACCAGGCCCAAAAUUUUCAUACAAGAGUAUUGCAUUCUAACUAAAUAAAUAAACAUGGUAUGAUUUCAGAUCAGAUCCAAUUAACUGAUACUGAGGCUGACACGGAUGACGAAUCUGCUUGUGCCAGUUCAUUAAGCAAACCAAAAGAGAUUUCAGCAUCAACAUCAGAAGCCUGCCUGAAUGGAGUGAACACCAGAAAGAGCUCCAGAGGCAGGGGCUUACCCCUCUUCAGGAUGCUGAAAGACACAUUCAUCUAGGACGAGAUAAACACACAGUUUCUUCAAAAUAUAUUGAUGGAAUUAAAGGACAUGGUGUUUUUGCAGAAGAUUUCAUUGGGAAGGGAUCCUUCAUUAUCGAGUACCACGGAGCUCUGUGUGAAGAAAACAAGUUUAAUAAAAUCUCAAAUCCAUACAUAUAUUAUUUUAAAGAUAAUGGAAAAGAUUAUUGGUAAGUACAAUAUACCUGAUGUGCAUGUAGAUAUGACAGCCAAAAUCAAAUUUCAUUAAUUUAAUUAAUGAACUAUGUGGGUUAUUGUUGUCAAUAGUACUGCUACUUUGGUACAUAUUCCAUGCUAAGAGCUCUCAAAUGGUCCCAUGUGUAUUUGUUUGCAGUCUGUCAAGACUGUCAAAGGUUUCUAUUUACAAAAUGUUUUUGCAGCGUUGAGCAUUGUAGCCAACCACAGACGUGUUUGCUGAUCACCUAAAUGCAAUGGCUAAUCAGAGGCAAAUUGCAAUUAAUUUUGUUCAAACCCGUUUAAUAAUCCAGCUUUGAUCAUAAAGGAAGUGCUUUUGGUCUGUUUCUAUUUGUAACUUUUUUCUGUUUUGGUAUUUAACCCAUUUAAACCCAUUCAAAAUCUGAUUUGUUAGAGUAGAUCUGUGCAUU